rnacentral:rRNA from 1 species
CCUACGGUAGGCAGCAGUGGGGUAUAUUGCACAAUGGGGGAAACGCUGAUGCAGCAACGCCGCGUGUAGGAAGAAGGUUUUCGGAUUGUAAACCACGUUUCUUGGUGAAGAUAAUGACGGUAACCAAGGAGAAAGCUCCGGCUAACUACGUGCCAGCAGCCGCGGUAAUACGUAGGGAGCAAGCGUUGUCCGGAUUUACUGGGUGUAAAGGGUGCGUAGGCGGUCUUGUAAGUCAGACGUGAAAACUUCAGGCUCAACCUGUAGACUGCGUUUGAAACUGGGGGGCGUGAGUGAAGUAGAGGUAGGCGGAAUUCCCGGUGUAGCGGUGAAAUGCGUAGAGAUCGGGCGGAACACCAGUGGCGAAGGCGGCCUACUGGGCUUUAACUGACGCUGAGGCACGAAAGCAUGGGGAGCAAACAGGAUUAGAUACCCGAGUAGUC